AUGCUCGCAGGAGCCAAUGCCGACUUGAGGGAGCAGCUCAGCGGGGCCCAGACCGCCCUUCACGCCAAGGAAGCCGAGUGCAACGCCUUAGUUCUGGAGCGUGACCGCCUGGCCAAGAAGUUGGCCGACCAGGAGGAGAGCCACAAGGCGGCCCUAAAGAAGGCGCAGGACAGUGAGGACGCCCUCAAAGCUGAGUUCGAGACCGAAGCGGCGAGCUGGGCUGAGGCAAAACAAGCGCUGAGCGAGGGCUACGACCGGGUUGAGGAUCUGAUCGAUGGUAAGCCGCCUUCCUCACUCCUUGCUUGCCCCUUGCCCUCUGAUUUGUGUUCUGACUUGUGCUGCUUUUUGUUCUUUGUGCAGACUACUUCCCCGGCUACUCCGUCAUUGCCACCCAGACCAUCGAGGCCCACCGCGAGGCGCGUCGAUAGGCGGGGGCUGAAAUCGCGCUGGACGCGAGCCGGACGCGAGCCGGACGCUUGA
rnacentral:rRNA from 1 species